AAUCUACCUAAAGUGUACACAGGACUCUGGUUACAGANCAGAUUUUUUUUUUUUUUUUUUUCUAAUUUACCUUAAAUCCUGAGGCCAACAGACAGCUAACACUCACCAAUCUCCCCUCCUCCACCCCACCCUGCCCCAGUACACCACCACAAUUCUUCUAUGAGCAAAUCCUUUAGAAAAAAAAUCUGGUACCCCUUCUUUAUUGUGCAAAGUGCAAAAUAGGUACAAAUUAAAUGCUAAAAUACCUUCAAGCAUUCCAAAUAUUUGUUACAAGCUCUAGCUGUAGUUAACCUAAAGGUUUAAAUGAGAAUUCAGUUGAAAUAAAAUUUAAUGUUCAAGUUUAAAACUUCCUGCAGUGGCCAAGGGUUAGAUUUUAUCACACAGAGGGGAGCUUUGGACAUCAACCUCCUAAAAUUUGCCUUAUCAACAUAACCAACAGGGAAAUCCAUUUCUGAGGCAAAACAAGCUAUAGAUCUGAAAUGAAAUAGAUAAUCAAAAUGCUGAAGAGGAAAAUAAAAAAAGCCAAAGGGGAAAUAGGAUAUUUUUUUUCAUGAGCAUUGCUUCCAAUGCUUUUUUCAAUAUCCCAGACCAAUUUGUAGGUGACAUAGUAGCUAUGAACAAAAGUGUUAUGACUGCUUGACUUGCUGAUUGCAAAGUGACAAAACUCAGCCCUCUACAGAGUUAAUCUGAAAUAGCGACUUUCCAAAAUUAGAACAUUUGUCGGGAGAGUUAGAAAAACGGGGGCAGGUGGAGCAAAAUAAAAGCAAGUGGAUUUUUUUAUGGUCUUGAUCUCCCUUUGCAUUUGAAAAUGUGACCACCAGAAGAGCUAUUACUAGUGUGGGUAUCACACCUGAUCCUGUCUGAUCAGCUAUUUUUUGAUUUGAGUUUCUGCUUCUAGACUUUCUAGUGCUCUUCAUGGUCUGCAUGGUGCCAUUGCUGCUUAAAAGAAAUUGUGUGUUGCAGUUUUCUCUGUCUUCCGUAUACCCCCAUAAAGCCCUGUGUCUCAUUUCAUCUUUCAAUCAAUCAUUGAAAUUAAGCUCACUGUUAAAACAUGUCCCUGACCACUAUCCUAGCUCAGUUUUAAAAGGUACAAUCAGUUAAACAGCCAAUUAUCUCUGCAAUAUUUUGUUGGCAUUUACGUAUCCUAGAUUAUGGAGAUUUUUCUGGAAGCAUGUCAUAGAGCUAAGUUAAUUCUUUACAAGAUUAGUAUAAGUCAUACUACAACAAUUCAGUGGGUAACAAGAUAUAUCAUAGUGUUACUGCCCUUCAGUAGUUUUCAGUUGAGAAGGUGAAGUAAGGUUAGAGGUGAAGAGGUCUUAAACUAUACAAGCUUUUCAAAGACCUAUAAACUCUCCAAUUAAGUUCUAAAAUAAUCUGUUUGUACUAUUUUUUAAGUGUAAUUAAUAAAUUAAUUGAUUUUCAUGGUUGUUUCCCACUUGAGAUUUUGUUACCUUUUAAACAGACUUGCUUGCUUUUAUUCAAAAUAACAAAAGUAUGUGCUAAGUAUGUGUAAGGUACUACCGAGAACACAGAGGCAUUCAAAAACGAAUAGUCCCUCUUCUGACUAUAUGCUCAAUAAAGUAAUGAAUCAGAGAUAUAUAUGACUGUAAAUAAGCAGACUCUUAGUUGGGUCCCAUAUGAGUAAUUGAUGUGAAAAUCAUGUCAUAGAAUUCAUCUUUUAAAAUUGCUUAAAUUGCCCAUGACUUUUUGUGUGCAUGGCUUUUUAAGUGUUCCACUUUCUUUCAGCAAGUCCCAAUGCAGAAGUGCAUUGUCUUCUGAACAGAGUGCUGUUUAGUUGGGUAUCAGAUGAGGUUGUUGGCGUGUUUAUAAGGUAUUUUAAUACAAAAGGCAAACAACAAAAUAGCAAAACAAGAUAGGACACAAUUAAAAACACACACACAAACCAUGUUCCUAUGUUAGGUUUGAUGUGUUUAUUUGAAGGUUCACAAUUUAAAUGCUGUAUGAUGUAUCUUCACUUUAUUAAAAUACUAUGACAGCUGCCUUAGGAGAAAUGCAAACAAAGGGUUCUGGGGUUUAAAGGAGAAAAAGCUCAUACCAAAGAAAGAAACUUUUAAAGGAAAUUGAAUUUGAGAUUUUAAGAACAGUUUUGAUUUGACAAACUAAGCUUUCCAAUACAAGCAAGUGCAGUCUGGGCAAAGCACACAACUUGAACAAACAAACAAAAAAUCAAAAUGUCUAAAUGUAUUGUAACUAGCCCUUUCUAUCAGAAGUUUAGAGUAUGAAUUGAACAUUAGGAAGUGAUUAUGUCCAGAAGGGCGGGUUAGACAUUGUUAUGAGGGAGAGAAGUUUACACUGAACUGUAAAGGUCACUUGGAGGAGAGUACCUUAGUUGUGGUUUAGUUGUAUGAAUUGACUUAUACAAAACUAGAGUUCUUAUAAAAAACUAGAGAGGAGAAAGACUUGAGACAUAUUGUGCAGAAGGAUGAUGGAGAUAAGGAGAGCUGGAACUGAGAGUGUGGUAUUGAAAACAGCAAAGUACAGGGAAGACCCAAGAAAUGUUGCUGUGUGGAUUUUGUCCCCUACUGAUAAGAUUGAUACUGACAAUGGGAGAAAAAUUUGCAUCUCAAUCACACAUUAGGUCAACUACAGCUUCUUGAAUAAAGGUAGUCAGUCACUUAUUCAGGUGGGUAUAUAGGUAUAAUAUAUAGUAUAAAAUACACAGAGAUUAUAACUACUAAAUUGCUCAUAAAAUAAAACUUUAUUUUUCCCUUUUCCUAGGAUUCAUUCAAAACACGGAUAAAGUAACAGUCCAAAUAUUUAUUCCUUAGUAAUAUUUUACAUGUAUCUCAUUUGGCAGUAUCUCUACACUUGUGUCUGUAUGUUGGAUCUAACUUAUAUCUUUAAUUUUAUGUGGUAUGCAUUGUAGUCUCUUCAGUGAAAGGAAGUUAAAUUACUACAAAGGGAUUUAUAAUCCUUCUUAAGUGAUGAAAUUUGUUAGUAAGCCUUUUAAAUCUAGAAUAUAAUUAAGUUCAUCACAAUUACUUUAGAUCAAUAGUUCAUCUGUGGUUAUGGGGAAUGUGCUUUAGUAAUGUAUUAUGCCAUUAUUAUUAUUAAUUUUGUAUAUUACUUGAUAGAAAAAUAAGGUCAUUAUGAAAGUGUUCUUGCAUUCAUCCAUACAUUCAUUUAUCUAAAUCUAUCUCAUUUUUGACUUUUGAUCAGAUCAGUUGUGUUUAGUCUUUUCAAGACAAAAACCUCACUAAUUUAAAAAGAACAAGGCUUUCUCAUUUUUUAUGAAGAAUAUAAUUUCUCAUGAUUUUAUCAAGUUUUUCUUUUCCUUUCCUUUUCUUUUCUUUAGAAAUUGAUUUCAAGAUCGGAGUUCCUGUCGUGGCUCAGUGGUUAACAAAUCUGACUAGGAACUGUGAGAUUGUGGGUUCAAUCCCUGGCCUUCGCUCAGUGGGUUAAGGAUCUGGUGUUGCCGUGAGCUGUGGUGUAGGUCACAGACUUGGCUCAGAUCCCACGUUGUUGUGGCUGUGGUGUAGUCUGGCUGCUAAAGCUCUGAUUCAGCCCCUAGCCUGGGAAUUUCCAUGCCC
rnacentral:lncRNA from 1 species